CCUACGGGAGGCAGCAGUAGGGAAUCUUGCACAAUGGACGAAAGUCUGAUGGAGCAACGCCGCGUGAGUGAAGAAGGGUUUCGGCUCGUAAAGCUCUGUUGGUAGGGAAGAAAGAUAGAGGUAGUAACUGGCCUUUAUUUGACGGUAAUUACUUAGAAAGUCACGGCUAACUACGUGCCAGCAGCCGCGGUAAUACGUAGGUGGCAAGCGUUGUCCGGAUUUAUUGGGCGUAAAGCGAGUGCAGGCGGUGCAAUAAGUCUGAUGUGAAAGCCUUCGGCUCAACCGGGGAAUUGCAUCAGAAACUGUUUGACUUGAGUGCAGAAGAGGAGAGUGGAACUCCAUGUGUAGCGGUGGAAUGCGUAGAUAUAUGGAAGAACACCGGUGGCGAAGGCGGCUCUCUGGUCUGCAACUGACGCUGAGGCUCGAAAGCGUGGGUAGCGAACAGGAUUAGAUACCCUGGUAGUC
rnacentral:rRNA from 1 species